UACAGAGGAGCCAAGCGUUGUCCGGAUUGACUGGGCGUAAAGCGCACGCAGGCGGCCGCGCGCGUGGGGUGUGAAAUCUGGCCGCUUAACGGCCAGGCGCCAUCCCAUACGGCGCGGCUGGAGCCAUGCAGAGGGCGGUGGAAUUGCCGGUGUAGUGGUGAAAUGCGUAGAUAUUGGGAAGAACACCGGUGGCGAAGGCGGCUCACUGGCUCAUUACUGACGCUCAGGCGCGAUAGCGUGGGGAUCAAACAGG
rnacentral:rRNA from 1 species